UCUUGGGGACUAGAGGGCAGAGAGCAGCCCGGGGCGCAGAGGAGCUGGAUGCAGAAUUGGAGGGUUUGGGGCCUUGGAGGGCGACGGGGAGCGCAGAGCAGGACGUUGCGCCCUUGCGCCCUGCACGGGGUGCGCGGAACCUGGGAGUCUUGGGCCUUGGAGGGCAGCGGAGAGCGUGGAGCCCGAGCUGCGGGACGCAGACGGGAGACGCAGAGCUGGCGGUACUGGGCCUUGGAGGGCGCAGGGACCCCGGCGCAUAGGGGUGCAGGGUUAACGCGGGGCCUGGUGCGCACGGCCCCGGAGCGCAGCGCAGUCCGCAAGCGAGGCCGCGGCCUUGGAGCUCCGUGCGGGUGAGGGUGCGGGGCUCCGCGCGCCCUGGGUCCCCGCCCCCGAGGCCCGACCCCGUGCUGGGUUGUAGAGCACAGGCGGGGCGGGGAGGCCUCGGGACCGCGCCACGUCCCCCGAGCGGCCACUGCAGGCCGGGGGCUUUUGUGUCCGCGGAGGCCGCGUCUCCCCCGCGCGCGGGCGGAGCGCAGCGCAACGCGGCCCAGGGCGCGCGUAUUCUGCGGGCCGGGCGCGGGCGCCGCCCCCAGGCCGCGGCCCUGAACCCGGCUGAGCCCCGCGUGUGUGCGGAGCCCCGAGGCCUCGGCCGCCUCCCAAACUUUUAAAAGUCGGUCCGCGGCCCUGCCGGCCUGGGCUCCGAGCUCGGCCGGGAGGACCCCGGGGACCAGGAGGAGGACCCGGAGGACCAGAAGGAGGACCCGGAGGAGGAGGGGCCACCGCAUCAAAGACGCCGGCUUCCCGCGGCCCAGGGGCGAGCCAUGCGCGGCGGUCGGUAAUGUCAGCGGAACAGGACAAGGAGCCCAUCGCGCUAAAGAGAGUUCGAGGUGGUGACAGUGGACUGGAUGGGUUAGGAGGACCAAAUAUACAACUAGGAAGCCCAGAUAAGAAAAAACGCAAGGGCAGUGCACAGGGACCUUCCUUUCCUCCAUUGUCUGAGUAUGCACCACCACCCAAUCCAAACUCCGACCAUCUAGUGGCCGCCAACCCCUUCGAUGACAACUAUAACACCAUUUCCUAUAAACCACUGCCUUCGUCCAAUCCCUACCUUAACCCCGGUUAUCCCGGCUUUGGAGGCUACAGCACAUUCAGAAUGCCACCCCACGUUCCCCCAAGAAUGUCUUCCCCCUACUGUGGUCCUUACUCACUCAGGAAUCAACCACAUCCAUUUCCUCAGAAUCCCUUGGGCAUGGGCUUUAACCGGCCGCAUGCUUUUAACUUCGGGCCACAUGAUAAUCCGAGUUUCGGAAACCCUCCUUACAAUAAUGUGCUGACUCAGGACAUGAACAUGCCUGGUCAGCAUUUUAGACAGAGCUCUGCAGAGAACUUCAGCCAGAUUCCCCCACAGAAUCCUGGCCAGGUAUCUAACCCUGACCUGGCAUCUAAUUUUGUCCCUGGAAAUAAUUCAAAUUUUACCUCUCCGUUAGAACCUAAUCAUUCUUUUAUUCCACCCCCAAACGCGUUUGGUCAAGCGAAAGCGCCACCUCCCAAACAAGACUUUCCCCAAGGGACAACCAAAACCACGAGUCAGAAUUCCUCCGCUCACCCGCCUCACUUAAAUAUGGAGGAUCCAGUCAAUCAGAGUAACGCUGAAUUAAAAAAUGUCAACAGAAACAAUGCCGUGCAAGAGAACAGCCGCUCGGGUAGUGCAGAGGCCACCAACAGCCACGCCAAUGGGACCCAGAACAAGCCUCGGCAGCCCAGGGGCUCAGCCGACCUGUGCACCACCGAGAAAAGCCGCAAGUUCUCCCUGCACCCCAGCCGCCAUGGCCAUUCGUCUUCUGACCCGGUGUACCCGUGUGGGAUUUGUACGAAUGAAGUGAAUGACGACCAGGACGCCAUCCUGUGUGAGGCUUCCUGUCAGAAAUGGUUUCAUCGCAUCUGCACUGGAAUGACGGAGACAGCCUACGGGCUCCUGACGGCUGAGGCCUCGGCAGUGUGGGGCUGCGAUACGUGCAUGGCUGACAAGGAUGUCCAGCUCAUGCGCACUAGAGAAGCCUUUGGUCCACCUGCAGUGGGUGGCGAUUCCUAACCACGGCUGUUGCCUACCGUGGGUUCCUUUUUCUGUGUAGAACGGAGAUUUGGUGACAUGGGAUUUUAAUGUUUGACAUUUUUUGAGAUGGCACACACAAAAAUGCUACAUCUUAGUUCUUACUAACGUUGUGCUUCAUUUUAUUGUUGUGUUUGUUGUCUUAAAUGAGAUUAAUGUGUGUGUGGGUGCCCUAGAGACACCUAUAAAUAAAUGUUCGUUGUUAUUUAUCAUAAACAUAAAAGCCUCUUGAAGCUUCAAAAUAGUAUAUGACAAAGACAUCCAACUCUGCCUAAUGAUAGAAAGAACUCUUAGUAAUACUGCUCACCGUGCAAUCUGAUUGAUAUCAUCCUAAAAACGUACCAAGCAUCCUCGUCUAACAGUCUUUCAAACUUACUUGAACAAAUUAGCAUGCCAGUAUUUCUCCCAUCCUCGGGCUGGUAGAACACGAAGCCGAUGAGCAAGCGGCCAUUUUAAAGGGGUCUUCUAAAGUGUGUAGAACUUCCUUUUUGUAAUGUAGAGAGGUUUUUGUGUGCAUGUACAUUUGUGCUCUCUUAGGCUUUUCUAAUUCAAAAAGUUGAAAAUCAACCAGACUCACAGCUCAUUUGUAAAUAAUAGUUGGAAAGCCGAUGUGAGAUAGUUAGAUUCCUAGGGACCUCAUGAGGCUCAUGAUCAUGUCUGUGUAAGAGAGAGAAACUGUGAUCUCCCGUCCUUCCUCUGUGGUUAGGGAAGGCGAUGUUUACUGGCGUGGGUGAUUCUUAGUUGCCCUCUUAGCAUCUGCUGUAGAAGCAGGCUUGUCUUUUUCCCUCUAGAAUGUUCCAACGUCUCCGCCUUUGCUCCGAUCAGAAGUUGCUUUGUGAGUUGGGGAUGUGGCUCCAUUAGUACAGUACUUGCCUAGCAUUCAUGAAACCCAGGUCCCAUCCCCAGAACCACACAAAAACAGGACGCAGUGUACCCACCUGAAAUCCCGGCACUUGGGAGGAGGAAACAGAAACUCAAGGUCAUCCUCAGCUAUGUACAGCCAGUUUGAGGCUAGCCUGAGCUACAGAAGACUAUCUCGAAAGAAAGAAAUGACUUCCUCGUGUGGUGUUGGGUGGCUAGAUUUUAAGAGAAGAACAUUUCCUCCUGAGAUAUGGAGAAUGUGACGUUACAUUUCCUUUUGCGAAGAGUCUUCAGACUAUAACAUCUAACAUUUCAGACUGGCCCAGUCCCAGGCGUAUUUUUUGCAAAUCAGCUGCCCCUGUCUUUGGACUACCUCCUCCAGAAAAGUCUGGACCUUCACAGCUUUCCUGAGCUUAGAAGUUCCGUUCUCAUCCCCAGAUUUCAACAACUUCCUCUUCUUGUCUUCUCCAUUUACUCAGGAGAACAGUGUAAAAUCAUGUCUGCAUUUACAGAUUCUUGGUUAAUUCUGGGACAGGAGUUCGGAGGUGCUGGAGCACCGAGGUUAGAGAGAACCCUCACAUAUCCCAAGGCAGAUGGUCAAAGGGAGAUGGAUGAAGGUGGCCACGUAUAAGCCAAAGCCUCAAGACAUGGGACACUUGCCUGUGAGUAAUGAGAAGCUCAGUAAAAGCUGUGGGAAACCUUGCCUGUGUCCUGUUUUCCACUAACACGUGACUUGCAGUUAUUAUCAACAUGUCUCUAAGUACAUGUAUGUACCUCUUGUCUGUGGUAAGUGGUGUUGCUUGUUAGUUACAUGUUAUCUUUUAUAAAAAGAGUCCUGCUUCUUAUCAUGAUGUAUGUGACUUGAACAAUUGUUUCAUAUUAAAACUAUCUUCCCUGUGUACUGUUGACAUAUGCCUCUUUUUGGGAUAUCAGCUCAGUACCUUUAUACAAACUCAAGUGUGUUCCACAUUGGUGACAUGUAUUUUGCAGUAGGUUGUCCUUUUGUUCUUAGUGUGUGUCUUAAGUCAUAAUACACCAGUGCUGUGGUCUGUGGCAAAAUGACUGUAAUUCAAAUUGGAAAAAUAAAAGUUUCCAGACUUUGUCCAACCUUUAUUCCUAUGGUAAAGGAAAUUACUAUGUAAUUCUAAUUAUUUCAUAUGAUGGUAUGUUUUAAUCUACUCUGUGAAGUAAGAGAAACACCAGUGUUUAUGGGUGAGUUAGUAAAGGCUCUGAAGUCUUUGAAGCAUGGGAGGAGUAAACUGUGUUAGCAGCUCAUGGCAUCCAUAAUACAAUAAAUACAUCUUAAAGUAUUCACCUGUCCAGCGUGGUAGCAUAAAUUCCUAAUCCUAGUGUUCAGAACCUGAGCCUGGAGACUCUGGAGUUGGAUACGACCCUCGGCUAUGUAGCAAGACUGCAUGGAAAGGAGAGAGUCCUUCGCCUGCAGGGAUGAUUCCUGAGGCAUUCUCUUAGCGGACACCUGCUGAUGGCUCACAGCUAACAGCAAUAUUCACUGCAACAUAACCGAAAUAUGGCAACAGUCACCAAUCUUUAUUAAUUAAAAAUUUACUGAGGUAAUCAAGACAGUUAUUAAAAUAAUAAGACUCCUCUCAGCCAGGCGGUGGUGGUGCACACCUUUGAGUUCAAGGCCGGUGUGGUCUACAGAGUGAGUUCCAGGAUAGCCAGGACUGUUUCACAGAGAAAUCCUGUCUCGAAAAACUGAAAAAACAAAACCCUCUGAUUUGCUUAAAUUUUGUGACCAUGAACAGAACAUGGAUGCUAUUUAGUUUGUAUCUAUCUGAUGGCAGGAUCUGAUAAUGAAAGUCAUAAUCAUGAUUUAAAAAUACUGAACCAGGAAAGCACAUUUUCAUUUUUUAUUUUCAAGGUACUUAUUUAAGAACACUAGUUUAAAAACAUUCUUUGUUGGAACUGGAGAGAUGACUCAGAUCUUGAGAAUGCUUGCUCCCUUUCAGGGGACUCCAGGUCAGUUCCCAGGACUGAAGUCAGGAAGCUCAUAAUCUCCUGUAACUCCAGUUCCAGGGGAUCUGAAACCCUCUUCUGGCCUCUGCAGACAGCUGCACACACACACAA